AUUCUUUUAGUUCAAUGGUUAGAACGGCAUUCUUCUAAAGUGCACAUUCUGGUUCGAAUCCGGAAAAGAAUA
rnacentral:tRNA from 1 species